rnacentral:rRNA from 1 species
CAGCCGCCGCGGGAAUACGUAGGUGGCAAGCGUUGUCCGGAAUUAUUGGGCGUAAAGGGCUCGCAGGCGGUUUCUUAAGUCUGAUGUGAAAGCCCCCGGCUCAACCGGGGAGGGUCAUUGGAAACUGGGAAACUUGAGUGCAGAAGAGGAGAGUGGAAUUCCACGUGUAGCGGUGAAAUGCGUAGAGAUGUGGAGGAACACCAGUGGCGAAGGCGACUCUCUGGUCUGUAACUGACGCUGAGGAGUGAAAGCGUGGGGAGCGAACAGGAUUAGAUACCCCCGUAGUCCCUGUCUCUUAUAC